ACUAGAGGGGAGGAGACUGCCGGCUUUACUGAGCGCUCCAGCUACAGCUUGAAGGUGCAGAGGCUGUCACCAGACUGGUUGCCCAACGAAAUGGUUUAAAAUAUGUUAUGAAGGUGGCAUGCUGUGGUCUGUGGUGGGGUAUGAAUUCUGCUGAAGUCCAUGCACUUUGCAGCAGCGCUGCUUCUUCUCACACCAGGAAAAGAGGCCAUUUUGAUGACCAAUUUCUUUCUACAACUGCUGGA
rnacentral:lncRNA from 1 species